UGAACUUCUGCGGUACAGUAGGCUGCUAUAAAAGACAAUGCAAGUUCAUUAGAAUGUUUUUUUCCCUUGAACAAACUAGCACAUUAUUAUACAUAUUAAAAUAAUAGAAUCAUCAAGACAAAUAAAUGUAUAUUUUUUCAUAAUUUACUUCAAAAGACAACUUCAAAUACUGCGCCCAUUGUGUAAAGCGCUCGGAUCUUGUGAUUUCCGAGAGCAGGUAAGCCACUGACUAACGCACAUUGCGCUUUCCCACAUUCCACUGUGCGUGUGACAGCGGCUAACCAGCUUUUCGGCGUGUCACCGAGCCUCCCCUCUGGUCCAACCGGGAGACAACCGAGCGAGCAGCGGGACAGACCGCGCGGUCAUGAUGUUCCUGUCUUCCUUUAAAUGUGAAGAGCAUAAACGGCCCAUACCGUUGUUCGCAAGGCCGAGAACUCCAGUCAUGUGGAAAAUAUCGCGCCGCGAACCGUGCGGUUGUGUCUGGGUCCUGCCGAGACGCGCGGUUAGCCCUCAGGGUUCAGAGGAAAACGCAGCAGAGGGCUGCGGGGUAAGCCGUUCGCCCGAGUGACCCGUAGUCGUCUCCAGCGAAACCAAAAGUUAAAAGGGUGAGUGACUCAUGGAAUUGUGCGUUACGUGCCUAUUCGACACGAAGUAUUUUUGUCUUGACUUGUUCGUUGAAAAGUAAUCCAUAAUGCCUGUACGCAUUUCAACUGUCAGUUCUGAUUUAUUUCAAAUGUGGUGUGAAAAUGUGCAAUGAACGAAAUUAUGUAAUUACAUUACAUAACGAACUACUAGUUUUAGGAGUUUAAUAAAUUGCCUUAUCUAUGUCA